CAUAUAAAUAACCUUUGCUGAUGGCAAAAGAAUCAGUUCAGUAUGGAUGUUCAGAUCAGGAUGUAAUUAAAAUUUGUAAACAUCUAAUUAGUAUUCUCACUGAUAUUGAUGUUUAUCCAUUAUUUUGAGAGGAACAAAGACAAGUCUGGUGACACUAAAGUCUUAGGGUAGUUUGUCAUGCACAAACAUUACUUUUGUGAAGUAAUUUCAAUAGUCAAGGUAGAAGAUGGAAAGAAAAAAUGUUACAGUUGCCCAGAGUAAUUCACUUCCUGGGCAGGUUGUUGUUGAUCUAAGUAGCUGAAAAGACACUAACACUGUUUUAUAAUGCAGACAAUAGCUGUAUGUGCUUCACUGCAAGUGUUUUGAUGGAAAAGAGAUUACAGUUCUCUUUUGUCCUCUUAACCUCAUCUAGGCACGUUUUCAGUCACACUUUUAGCCCACAGCUGGAUAGCUCUGUUUGCAAAGCAUUCUGGCUCCAGUACUUGAACUUCAUGUUACAAGUGUUGGAUCUGCCAUUGUUGGCUUCCUCCUGGUUCCGUGACAACUUCCUUAAUUUGUUGUUCUCUUCCUUAAUUUGUUGUACCAUGGGUAGUAAGUUCAUACUGGCAGUGAAAUAUUGGCUCCAUUCUUAAGCAUAAGCAUGAAGGCCAAAUCUGAUGGUCUGAAAUUUCACACACAGAAUUCCCAACAGCUCUAUCAUAGGCUAGUUUUAUGUUUCCUCUAAUGAGAUAGCCCUUCCCCCACUGCCCUAAACCUAUUAUUAUUUCUAAGAAAUAUUAUAUUUGUUAAGGCACAUCUUGGAGCCAGGGAAUAGAGCGGUAAUUUCCAGCCCCUUAAAAAAAUAAACCUGAUGGCUAUGCUAGUUGGUUAGAAUUGCAUUGGUGAU
rnacentral:lncRNA from 1 species